rnacentral:rRNA from 1 species
UGCCAGACUCCUACGGGAGGCAGCAGUGGGGAAUAUUGCACAAUGGGGGAAACCCUGAUGCAGCAACGCCGCGUGAGUGAAGAAGUAUUUCGGUAUGUAAAGCUCUAUCAGCAGGGAAGAAAAUGACGGUACCUGAGUAAGAAGCCCCGGCUAACUACGUGCCAGCAGCCGCGGUAAUACGUAGGGGGCAAGCGUUAUCCGGAUUUACUGGGUGUAAAGGGAGCGUAGACGGCGAUACAAGUCUGAAGUGAAAGCCCGGGGCUCAACCCCGGGACUGCUUUGGAAACUGUGUUGCUGGAGUGCUGGAGAGGCAAGCGGAAUUUCUAGUGUAGCGGUGAAAUGCGUAGAUAUUAGGAAGAACACCAGUGGCGAAGGCGGCUUGCUGGACAGUAACUGACGUUGAGGCUCGAAAGCGUGGGGAGCAAACAGGAUUAGAUACCCUUGUA